GAUGAACGCUGGCGGCGCGCCUAACACAUGCAAGUCGAACGAUUAAAGCACCUUCGGGUGUGUAUAAAGUGGCGAACGGCUGAGUAACACGUGGGCAACCUGCCCCUCUCAUUGGGAUAGCCACGGGAAACCGUGGAUAAUACAGAAUACUUCGGGACUUCCGCAUGGAAGACUCGAGAAAGCUCCGGCGGAGAGGGAUGGGCCCGCGGCCUGUUAGCUUGUUGGUGGGGGAAUGGCCUACCAAGGCAAUGAUGGGUAGCUGGGUUGAGAGACCGACCAGCCAGAUUGGGACUGAGACACGGCCCAGACUCCUACGGGAGGCAGCAGUGGGGAAUCUUGCACAAUGGGCGAAAGCCUGAUGCAGCGACGCCGCGUGCGGGAUGAAGGCCUUCGGGUUGUAAACCGCUUUCAGCAGGGACGAGGCGAAAGUGACGGUACCUGCAGAAGAAGCCCCGGCUAACUACGUG
rnacentral:rRNA from 1 species